rnacentral:misc_RNA from 1 species
GUAGGUGAACCUGCGGAGGGAUCAUUACUGAGUGAGGGCCCCCGGCCCGACCUCCAACCCCAUGUUAUCCGACCACUGUUGCCUCGGGGGCGACCCGGCCUUCGGGCGUCGGGGCCCCCGGUGGACCCCCCAACUCUGCAUCUUUGCGUCUGAGUGGAUUAUUGAAUCAAUCAAAACUUUCAACAACGGAUCUCUUGGUUCUG